GACAGGUGGUGCAUGGUUGUCGUCAGCUCGUGUCGUGAGAUGUUGGGUUAAGUCCCGCAACGAGCGCAACCCUUAAGCUUAGUUGCCAUCAUUAAGUUGGGCACUCUAAGUUGACUGCCGGUGACAAACCGGAGGAAGGUGGGGAUGACGUCAAAUCAUCAUGCCCCUUAUGAUUUGGGCUACACACGUGCUACAAUGGACAAUACAAAGGGCAGCGAAACCGCGAGGUCAAGCAAAUCCCAUAAAGUUGUUCUCAGUUCGGAUUGUAGUCUGCAACUCGACUACAUGAAGCUGGAAUCGCUAGUAAUCGUAGAUCAGCAUGCUACGGUGAAUACGUUCCCGGGUCUUGUACACACCGCCCGUCACACCACGAGAGUUUGUAACACCCGAAGCCGGUGGAGUAACCUUUUAGGAGCUAGCCGUCGAAGGUGGGACAAAUGAUUGGGGUGAAGUCGUAACAAGGUAGCCGUAUCGGAAGGUGCGGCUGGAUCACCUCCUUUCUA
rnacentral:rRNA from 1 species